UACGUAGGGUGCAAGCGUUGUCCGGAUUUAUUGGGCGUAAAGCGUGCGUAGGCGGCUGCGCAAGUCGGGUGUGAAACCCCGGGGCUCAACCCCGGAACUGCAUCCGAUACUGCGUGGCUAGAGGUAGGUAGGGGAGAUCGGAAUUCCUGGUGUAGCGGUGAAAUGCGCAGAUAUCAGGAGGAACACCGGUGGCGAAGGCGGAUCUCUGGUCCUUACCUGACGCUCAGGCACGAAAGCUAGGGGAGCGAACAGG
rnacentral:rRNA from 1 species